rnacentral:rRNA from 1 species
GUCUAAAGCCAUACCACCCUCAACAUACCUGAUGUCAUCUGCUCUCAGAAGCUAAGCAGGGUCGGGCCUGGUUAGUACUUGGAUGGGAGACCACCUGGGGAUACCAGGUACUGUAGGCU